ACUGGAAGAGGCUCGUGGGUGAGGAGUUGAGGAGUGGAGAAUCAAGGAAGGUCCACCCAGCCUCUGGCAAUGCUGCAAGGGAGGGAAAAUGCAGCUAAUGGUCAACUGCAGUUCCCAACAUGAUGUACGUGGGGAGAGAGAGUGGGGUUUGUUUGAAGAGCCUGUUUCCCGUCCAACCGACACCUUUCCUGAGGGAAAAACCACAGUGAAUUUGUACCAAAAAAUUAAACAAAAAAUAAAAAACCAGGCAGAGCUCUCUGACCC